GCUCCGGGUUCAGAGUCCGGGGCUUUCUGGAGCCCAAGCGCAGACUCCGGCCCUCACAGUGGAAGGCAGAAGGGCAGGCUGUUACCCUGCUGGAGGCAUGUUGCUCAGUGCUGAAGAGGAAGUUGCUUGUCACCGAAGCCAAGCCCAGAGAAUGACCUGCACUGGGACUAUCUGGUAUCUGCGCUCCCAAGAAUCAGAGACUCUACCCUGCUCCUCCGAGAACCAGCACCUGGAGCAGCAUUUACCCUGUUCUAUAGCAGAGACCCCGAUGCUUCAGUGAACUAAGGCAAAUAUUGCCCCCAUUUCACAAAAGGGCAAACUGAAGCACAAAAGCUAGAACUUGGAGCAUCUGGCUUCCCAGUCCCAUGUGCAUUCCCCACCCCCCAGGUUACUGGCGCAUUUCACCCAGUUCUCCCCGGGAACCCUUCGUGGGUAGAUAAAUGUGACACCUGGCUUCCCUGAGACACCAACAACCCAUCCUGGCUGAAGAAUGGCUGCUAACGUUCCUGAAACGGCUGGUCUGUGGCAUGUGCAGGAAGAGGAAAGGGCUGAUCAGCAGCCGUCUGGCAUGGCCAGCAUAAUUUACACCCCACUCCAGCAGCUGGGAGUGAGACAGCCAGAAUAAUGCCAAUAAAACUAUUAUGCUGAAACAUGA